GAUGCCUCCCGGCCGCCGUAGGCGAAGGUUCGCGGAAGAGGGGAGCAGGCGCUCACCUGAGGUUCGCCCAAUCCUGGAGCAGUGGGUCCCGGGAGGGAAGAGGGAAGUGGGUCAGGCUCCCGGCCUGUGUUUGUCCAUUCAUUCAUUCAUUGAGGCACGAAUUAAUGUGAUAACCACUUAUUCGUUCAAAAACUGCUGAUUCACCACCCACCAGGUGCCAGGGAGACGGACAAAAUGCACCAAACAAAAUGCACGAAACAGUACCGGAAGCAGUAAUGUCCACGUGUGAUACUUGCCCUGGAGCAACUGACUCAGAAAUUGGAAUGAGUUGUCUGUGGAUCCUGUAAGGAGCCUGGACAUGGUGAAGAGAAUGCCUUGACCAUCAGGAGACAGCUUAGCUUGUUGAAUCUUGAUCACUUCUUCUGACCGCUUUGGAUCUUAAAAGAACAAG
rnacentral:lncRNA from 1 species